rnacentral:ncRNA from 1 species
UACCCAAAUAGGUAAUUAAAAGUUUAUGUUAAUUUGCAAUACAUUAAAUUAGCUGAAAUUCCCUGAGUCGAGACUGUUCUGCCCAUGACACCUACCCAUCCCAGAAAAUAACAAGAAGGUUUGACCAGUGAUUAGUGUUAAGAGCCUGCUUUGUGCAGCCUUUCACUUUGACCAUGAUGAAGUUACUUGGUCUCCCGGAGCUGCAUUUUCCCAUUUCUAAAAUGAACACGUCUUUCAAAAGAGACAUUGUAAAUCUAUUUCAUUUUUGAGAUGCUGAGGUGGAAUGGGAAAUCAUCUGACAAUAGAGUGGGGGAAGACCCCCAAGUUGGUCGGCGUCCAACUUCUUAGAGGGACAAGUGGCGUUCAGCCACCCAAGAUUGAGCAAUAACAGGUCUGUGAUGCCCUUAGAUGUCCGGGGCCGCACGCGCGCUACACUGACUGGCUCAGCUUGUGCCUACCCUCCGCCGGCAGGCGCAGGUAACCCGUUGAACCCCAUUCGUGAUGGGUAUCGGGGAUUGCAAUUCUUCCCCGUGAACGACGAAUUCCCAGUAAGUGCGGGUCAUAAGCUCGCGUUGAUUAAGUCCCUGCCCUUUGUACACACCGCCCGUCGCUACUACCGAUUGGGUGGUUUAGUGAGGUCCUCGGAUCGGCCCCAGCGGGGUCGGCCCCGGCCCUGCCGGAGCGUCAAGAAGACGGUCAAACUUCACUAUCUAGAGGAAGUAAAAGUCAUAACAAGGUUUCCGUAGGUGAACCUGCGGAAGGAUCAUUACCGGGGGUCGGGGUCGCGCCGGGCGUCCGGCCGCGCCGCCGACUCGAUUCGCCGCUCACCCGCGCCCCGCCG